UGUAUGCAAAAUGUAAAUACUAUAUAUUAAAAUUAUCAAAUUUAUACAAAAAUAUGUUUAAAGUAUAUGAAUACAUUAUAAUUUUUUUAGAAACAGCCAUGGGGACUUCUUUUCAAGGAAUAAGUUCACUUCAGCAACAAUAUCGAAAAGCGGUUCACCGAGUGGGUGAGCUUCUUGUUUAUAGGUAAUUAAUAUAUUGGUUUGGAUGAUUAUGUCUCCAAUCGUGACCAAACUAUAUAGUUCACAUCUCAGUAUUGAGAGUUUAAACUACGCAAAAAACAAUAGAAUUGUGAUGUUAUCUUUUCUACCGCAUUGUUCACACAAGUUACAACCUCUGCAUAGGAUAGUAUUUGGACCCUUUAAAAAAUAUGUAAAUUCUGCUUGUGAUGCUUGGAUAUUAAACAACCCAAUCCACACAAUGAAUAUCUAUAAUAUUCCUGAAGUUGUUGCUGUUGCUUAUCCUCUUGCCACGUCACCAACAAAUAUUCAAGUAGGUUUUAAAUGUACUGGCAUAUUUCCUUAUAAAAAGACAUUUUUUCUGAUUUGGAUUUCGCACCAAGUUUCAUUACUGAUAAGCCACUAGUUAAAGAAAAUAAAAAUAAUGACGAACAGCAAGCCAUGACAGGACAUAUAAUGGAUGUAGGAACAAUCAGUUCUUCAGAGUGCUUGUCGCCCAAUCGUUUUCUAAAAAGUCAGACGAAGGUUUUGAAAUAUUAAGCUCUCAAGAUCUUCGCCUUUUUCCUAAAGCUGGAAAAAUGCUCGUAAGUGCGCAAGAAAACGAUCGAGUAACAGCAAUUCUUACUGAUACAGUGAAGAGGAAAUUGGAACUCGAAAAAAUAGAAAGUAAGGAGAACAGAAGAAAAGGGAAAGGUAUAAAGAGACUAUUUGAAGAAAAUAAUAAAGAUACCAAAACUAAUUAUGCUAAAACAUCUAAAAAAUUUAAACAAAUCAUGAAAAAGGUUAAAAAAGAAACAAUAGCUCUUAAAGAAAAGGAAUGUUUCUGUUUAGUUUGUAUGAAAUCUUAUUCUAACAGCCGGGUCUAUAACGAGUCGCUAGUCGGUAAUCUGUAGUCUUAAAUCGCAAUCUUAAGUCGAUUCGAGAUUGGAAAGACUAUCGGUGAGUCUGAGUUGGUGAAUCAGUAAAGGCCAACAGCCAACUUCUAAGAUUACAGACAUCAAAUUUCAUACGACUGGCCAAUCAUAUGCUUUGCCAGUAUCGGCUCAUUGCCAGUAUUGCUCUUUGCAAAGCGGCUCAUUGUGGAUGUGAAAAAUUAUAGAAUCACCGACUUAGGUUAAGACUUAUGACUUCCAACUAUCGACUACCGACUACUGACUCAUUGUAGACCCGGCUUAAUUUCAGAUGCCAAUAUUAAAGAGAAAUGGGUCCAAUGCAUUCAAUGUAAAGGAUGAUCUCAUGAAGUAUGUGUUUCUGAUGUAUCACAUUAUAUAUGCCCCAACUGUGAGUCUGCAUGAGCUCCUACAGCUCAAAGUUAUUACAAAAUUUAUGAGUCUUCUAUUAUAUAUACCCAAGUUUAUGAAAGUUAAAAAGUUUAUGAGAAUUAUUUCUUUAUUUACUCUUACUCUUGUUGUAAGUUUAUAAAAGUUAAUAUUAUAAGUUUAUAAAAAUUAUUGUUCUUUUAUUUAUUCAAUGUUUAUAAGAGUAUUGCAAAGUUUAUCAAAAUUUUUAAUUUUUUAUU